AGUACCAUUGUAGGUUGUCCGUGACU
rnacentral:piRNA from 1 species